GAACGCAUAGCACCGACUGGGUCUCCAGUCGGUACGUCUGGUUCAGGGUUGU
rnacentral:rRNA from 1 species